rnacentral:rRNA from 1 species
AGUGAACGCUGGCGGUAGGCCUAACACAUGCAAGUCGAACGGCAGCACAGUAAGAGCUUGCUCUUACGGGUGACGAGUGGCGGACGGGUGAGGAAUACAUCGGAAUCUACUUUUUCGUGGGGGAUAACGUAGGGAAACUUACGCUAAUACCGCAUACGACAUACGGGUGAAAGCAGGGGAUCUUCGGACCUUGCGCGAUUGAAUGAGCCGAUGUCGGAUUAGCUAGUUGGCGGGGUAAAGGCCCACCAAGGCGACGAUCCGUAGCUGGUCUGAGAGGAUGAUCAGCCACACUGGAACUGAGACACGGUCCAGACUCCUACGGGAGGCAGCAGUGGGGAAUAUUGGACAAUGGGCGCAAGCCUGAUCCAGCCAUACCGCGUGGGUGAAGAAGGCCUUCGGGUUGUAAAGCCCUUUUGUUGGGAAAGAAAAGCAGCAGGUUAAUACCCCGCUGUUCUGACGGUACCCAAAGAAUAAGCACCGGCUAACUUCGUG